CCUACUGGUGACAUCAUUGAGGCAUUUGGGUCAAUGGGCGAGAGCCUGAACCAGCCAAGUCGCGUGAGGUCUUCCUUCCCUCCUUUUUUUCCCCCUCUUUUUCCUUUUUCCCCACUUCGUCACUCUUGCCGUCCUGAUGUUACCCGGAGAAAAAGCAUCUUCUAACUCCUUGCCAGCCGCCGCGGUAAUACUGCAUCUGCUCUCGUUCUCCUUAUUUCUUGGGUUUAACGUUUUCUUAGGCGGGAUGCCAAGUCAGCGGUCAAAUACGGGGGCUCAACCUGCGUCCGCCGUUGAAACUGGCGUUCUUGAGUGGGCGAGAAGUACGCGGAAUGCGUGGUGUAGAGGUGAAAUGCAUAGAGAUCAAGAAGAACCCCGAUUGAGAAGGCAGCGUAAAGGCGAACAAAUGAAGCUGAAGCACGAAAGAGGGGGGAUCGAACAGGAGGAGAGAAAAGGGGAGUC
rnacentral:rRNA from 1 species